rnacentral:rRNA from 1 species
GAUGAACGCUGGCGGCGUGCCUAAUACAUGCAAGUCGAGCGAACGGACGAGAAGCUUGCUCCUCUGAUGUUAGCGGCGGACGGGUGAGUAACACGUGGAUCACCUACCUAUAAGACUGGGAUAACUUCGGGAAACCGGAGCUAAUACCGGAUCAUAUUUUGAACCGCAUGGUUCAAAAGUGAAAGACGGUCUUGCUGUCACUUAUAGAUGGAUCCGCGCUGCAUUAGCUAGUUGGUAAGGUAACGGCUUACCAAGGCAACGAUGCUUAGCCGACCUGAGAGGGUGAUCGGCCACACUGGAACUGAGACACGGUCCAGACUCCUACGGGAGGCAGCAGUAGGGAAUCUUCCGCAAUGGGCGAAAGCCUGACGGAGCAACGCCGCGUGAGUGAUGAAGGUCUUCGGAUCGUAAAACUCUGUUAUUAGGGAAGAACAUAUGUGUAAGUAACUGUGCACGUCUUGACGGUACCUAAUCAGAAAGCCACGGCUAACUACGUG